CUCCUUGGUGUGUGAAAGACAAAGACGAUUGUAUAAGAAUCAUAUGGUGAAAGAAGGUUAAAUAUGAACAAUUUAGCAACUUUGACUGAAGUAAAGCUGGGUUUUAGGAGCAUGUAACUACAUGAUGUCAAAAACUAUUGACUUGAUGGGCUGAGCACAUUAUUACCAUUUGGAUGAUUUAACAGAAUAAGUUUAUAACUCAUAGUCAAUGUUAUGACAGGAAACUGAAUUGAAAGAUUAAAUUUGCCCAAGACUUUGCUUCCUGUAAUCUCAUGUAAAGUUCUUUUAAUCACCUCAAUCAGAAAAUUUAACUUUAUGUUAAACACCGCCAAUUGAAAUAUGAAAUAACAUUAAUCUCAUCAUAAAGUUUACAUUUUAACCUGCACUUACGAUCUCUGGAUUGUUUUAUAGCAGGAGGAGUCACAACAAUAAAUACAGGACUGUCCCAUGGAUUAA